rnacentral:tRNA from 2 species
AGUGGGCCUGGGAGGUCGGGCUGCCGGCCAAGAGCGGCGUGGCGGGCGGUGUGGUCGCGGUCGUGCCGGGCCAGUUCGGCAUCGCCGCUUACUC